CCAAUUAACCAUCCAAUACCAAUCCCAAUACCAAUGCUAACACUAAUACUGACACCACCCAUGCCCAUAGUAGUCCAAUAAAGCCUCUAAUAAAAAUCAAAGAAUAUCCAGUCGGGACAUGCCCCCGACCAUAGCCAAAACAAAACCAAAAGAAAUAAUAAGGACGUAAGGAAAUCCAUCGCAUUAAAUGGGCCUUUUAGAGUAUGAAAGCUCUCAGUUUGACUUAAAAGUUGUCCCCGAAUCACUGAGUCACUGAGUAAAAGGAGUGGCAGUAUGGUCGGUUCCUGUAUCGCGUGGGGAUACAACACUCGAAAACAGUUAGCAAGGUGAACGCUAGCAUGUAACUAAUAGAUGAUGAUAAAGUAAUGCCAUUAAUCCAAAAUCAAAUCAAACCAAUACAAUAACCAUAUGCAAAUACAUACAUAUAUAUACCAUAUUGUAAUAGGGAACAAGGUUUAGCAUGUAUUUUAAAACCUUAACCUAGAUUGUGUAGCUUUAUCGUCAUAAGUCCACCCAUGGGCUACAUGGGUCUAGUAUUAUCCCCUGAACGGGCCCCAACGCAUGUAGCCGUACGAAUCGGAGAUACCAUAGAUGGCCGGAGAUUUCCUUAUACCGUUCACCCUCCAUGAUACAUAUAUACAUGUAUAGGAUUGGGGGACUCUUUUGUACCCCACAAGCUCAAGGUCAUCAAGACCACCCCUCAUGUCGGCAAAUAUGAGUUUUCAAUGUCCGUCCAUCAGAUUUGUACCUUCACGGCUAGCUAUCAUAAUCCCCAUUAUUGCCCAAUUAAAACAUUUAACACAUAACAAACCACCAAUACCAGGAGUCAAUUAUUAAGGCAUUAUUAUGUGGUAUCGUCAUACUGACUGUAGCUUGCAAGCAAUGUCAUUAAGCCAAGACUUAGGGUAUUCCCAUGUACCCUGCAGACUCUAUUAUUAAAAUCACUUAGGGAAUUCCCAUGUACCCCACAAGGUUUUCAAAACCAUCAUUAACUAUUUUUUCAUUUAUGCAAUCCAUUAAUUCAAGUAAUAAAUCAAACCAUACACCUUAGGGAUUCCAUCGUACCCUUAAUUCAAACUCCCACCUUUCUCAUAACUAUAAACCAAUUUUACAAUACAGAGUUGGGAUCAUAACCACUUCAAAAGCCACAAGUUUAGAGAAAAUUACCAUUCUCAAGUUCAACCACCAUACCCAUGCACCCAUAGGUUCAAAAUCAUAUUUAAAACAUAGAAAACCAUAAUUAAACAUGGAAAACAUUAUUCAACAAUAAGCAUUCAAAACCCUCAACCUUUAUUUUAAAACCAUAAUAAUACCAUGAAAUCCAUACAUUAAAAUAUGUGUUUUUAAUAAAAUAACAAUGAGGGAAAAGUAAUAUGCCUGAAAUACCAAGAAAUUUGGAAUAUGUCCUUAGAACGCUAGAUGAUCACUUUCUUUGAAAUCCUAGCCUUAGCUUGAACAAAGAGUUUGAGAUAGAAUUUUAGGAGUGUUUUAUUGGGGAUAAUGAAGUCCCAAGGAAGGUUUUAAGUUGUGGGGUCCAAGGGGUUAAAGUUUAAAAUGUCUAGAAUGCCCUUAACUUAAAAGCCAAAAAAGUGUCGCCCUUGGCUACAAGUCAACCAUUGACUAGUAACCACUCCUUACGACUCGUGACCAUGAGUCAUAACCAAAGCAGUGACCAAGACCCCCAUACACUGUCAACCUUACAACUCAACCACCCAACUCGUAACCAGACCCUACGACUCGUAAGGUUCAGUCGUAGGAAACACAUAAUUCAAAUGGAUUAGACACUGGAAAACCUAAGAUUUCACCACAUGACUCGUAACAUAUCCCCAGGCUCUUAGUGAGUCACUCGUACUCAGAGCAUAGUCAAGCCACAAACUUACAGAUUUGGUUAUAGCUCAUCCUAACGAGUCAUCACCAGUCCUUACGACUUGUAUCCCCAAGUCGUAACCAUGGCAGAAACCCAAACACCAUCCACUGGACACCUUACGACUAGGGCCACCUGAUCCUUCAAGACACCAUAUAACUCGUAUGGGCAAGUCAUAAUCAAGGCAGUGAGUUGAGAGCUCAAAAAAUUUUCAAGGGCCAAAAUCUGAGGUGUUUUAUUUUGGUUAUUCAAACAUAAGCUAGAGAAUGUUAAAAAAACACUGAGCAAAUGGAGCACAGACAUGUUUGGUGAUAUUUUUUAGUAGUUAGCUAUUAGAGAAGAAAUUAUGCAGAUUAAAAAAAAGCUUUUUGAGGAACAACCAGCUCAACAAAACAAAAGUGUGUUACAAUAGGCUCAAGCAGAUUUUAAAAGGUAUCUUCACCUUGAAGAACAGGUCUGGAGAUAAAAAGCUGGCAUAAACCUUGUUUAAGAAGGGGGAUAAAAAUAUAAGAUUCUUUCAUAUCCUGGUGAAAGGAAGAAGAAAGAGAUUACAACUCAAUAAGAUUCAAAAAGAUGAUGGUGACUGGGUAAAAUAUAGCAAUUUGAUUACUGAUGAAGCAAUUAAAUGUUUUCAGGAUCAAUUUACUCAGAAGGAAAAAGGGGCUAAUUUUGGGUUGCUGAAUUAUAUUCCAGAAAUAGUGACCGGGGAAGAUAAUAUGAUACUGAAUGCAUUCCCAACCAUGGAACAAGUUGGACUAGCAGUUUUCUCUCUGAAUGAAAGUAGUACUUCAGGUCCAGAUGACUUCACAGGUUUGUUUUAUCAACAAUGUUGGGACAUUAUAGGAGAAGAGGUUUUGAAGAUUGUAGAAAGUUUUUGUGAAGGUAAUACACUCCCUAAAAGUAUUACUUAUACAAAGUCGGUUUUCAUACCUAAGAAGGAGUGGAUGGGAUUUGUAUACCUCAGACCUAUCAGCCUUAGCAAUUUUAUUAAUAAGAUUAUUUCUAGGGUGAUUCAUGAUAGAUUGGAAAGGUUACUUCCAAAACUAAUAUCCAGUAAUUAUUUAGUGUUUGUUAAGGGAAAGUUAGGAGAUAGUAUCUGACAUCAGGCAAAGAGGUAAACCAGCUAAUGUUGUUUUGAAUCUGGAUAUGUCUAAGGCAUAUAACAGGGUUUCUUGGCUAUAUUUGACUAAGUUUAUGAGGAAAAUGGGAUUUAUAGAAGCCUUCAUAGAUAUGAUUUGGAGGUUAGUGGCAAACAACUGGUACUCUAAUCAUCAUUAAUAGGCUGUCACAUGGUUUUUUUUCAUUCUACUAGAGGCUUAAAACAAGGUGAUCCUCUAUCGCCUACUUUAUUUAUUUUAAUUGCUGAAGUGUUGUCAAGUUCUCUAAAUGCUCUGUUUGAAAAUGGAACAUAUAAAAGGAUAUGGUUUGCCUAAAUAGAGUAGGAACCUAAACCAUCUUGCAUAUGCAGAUGAUACAAUAAUCUUUACCUCAGCAGAUAAAUCAUCAAUGCAAUUAGUAAUAAAGGUUUUCACAGAGUAUCAGGAAAUAUCUGGGCAGCUUAUAAAUAAAGGUAGAAGUUCUUUUUACAUGUAUGAAAAAUGGUAGUAUCUUUGAUAAAUGAAGUGAAAGAGAUAACAGAUUUUUCUCGUGAACAGUUUCCUUUCCAGUAUCUGGGGUACCCUAUUACCCAUGCUAGAAAAAUAAAAGAGUACUAUAAUGUACUCAUCAAGAAGGUGAAAAGUAAACUUCAAAACUAGAAAGGUAAAUUACUUUCUUAUGGGGGAAAAUCUUUUUUAACUACUAGUAUACUACAGAGCAUGCCUUUGUAUUUAUUAUCAGUUGUGGUGCCUCCUAAGUUUAUUAUAUGAACUUCAUAAGAUUUUUAACAGAUUCUUAUGGAGCACUAAAGAGGAAGAUAAGAGUAAACAUUGGUUGUCAUGGGAGAAGAUGUGUUUCCCAAGGGAAGAGGGAGGUGUGGGCUUUAGAAACCUUUUUGACAUAUCUAAGGUUAUGUUUGCUAAACUAUGGUGGAUAUUUAGAACCACCAGGUCCUUGUGGACUGACUAUAUUCGGAAUAAGUAUUGUAAGAAACUUAUCCCAACAGUAGUCCAGUGGAAGGAUGGCUCUCAAAUAUGAAAGAAAAUGCUAGAGGCAAGGGAUGCAAUUGAGCAAGAAAUCUGGCGGGAACCAACUAUGGGUUCAUCUAAUAUAUGGUUUGAUAACUGGUCAAGACUGGGUGCUUCGUAUUAUGUGGUUUAUGUUGAUUUUCCUAUCAAUGAAAAAGGUGACAUUGAAAAGCUGAUGACAGAGGACAAAUGGAACAGUCAGAAACUGGAGAGUGUGUUACCUUCUGAUAUCACUCAACACAUUAUGGACAACAUAAUUAUCAAUCAGAAUGCAUCACCAUGGGACUUGCCCUGGUGGUUGCCAACAACUAAUGGGAAGUUUUCAGUGUCUAGUGCUUAUUAGUUGGUUAGAUAUAGAAAGGAUGUAGAGGGUCAGUGGAAGUUCAUAUGGAGUAAAUGGGUUCCAGAAAAGAUACUUUUUUCCUCUGGAUGCUAUGGAAUUUUAAACUUCCUGUUGAUGACAUAUUGCAAAAAUGUGGUAUCAACUUGGUUUCUAGAAUAUAAGUGUGUAUAAUACCACAUUUAGAAAUUGUUCAUCACUUGUUUAUUUCCAGCAAUUUUGCAACUAUGGUGUAGGACUACUAUGCAGUGAGUUUAGAGGUGGAAGGACCAUUUAUACAAUGCCAUCAAGCUUUGUCAAAGUGGUGGAGUAUAGGUUUUAGGGAGAGAAUUAAGCCAAUUGCUCAGGCUAUUCCAAGUUUCAUAUGUUGGCAGCUACGAAAAAGGCAAAAUAAAAUAAGUCAUGGGGGUUCCAUGUCAAUGCAUAGGGUCAUUUUUUAGAUUAAUGAUAAUUUACAUCAUUUGACCCUUGUAAGAUAUCCAUGGCUAAAGGAGGUUCCUAAGAGGUGGCCUUUAUUGACUGAAUUUUUGUAGAAUUACUGAAUAAAAGUGAAAAUAGAGGUAAUAAAAUGGAGUAAACCUGCACAAGGAUGGUACAAAUACAAUUCUGAUGGCACUUCAAAAGGGAAUCCUGGCGCAAGUCCAAUUGUAUAUUGUAUUAGAAAUGAAGAUAGUGAGAUGGUUUAUGCAUUUUGUAAAUAGCUACAGGAGAAUACUGGCAUUUAUGCAGAAGUAUUAGCCAUGAAAAAAGGCUGCAGCUAUGGUGUAGAACAUCAAAUGUGGAAGGUGAAUGGGAAAUCCCUUGGAGUAUACAGGAAAUUAUCAGAAGAAUAAGGGAUCUUAAGGAGUUUGGUUUAAUCAGAGUACAACACAUAUACAGGGAAGAAAACUCCUUGGCAGAUUUUUUUAGCUAACUGGUGUUUUAGUUUUGUAGGUACAACCAGCUUUAACACAUUAAUGGAAUUGCCCAAGAGAGCAAAAGCAAUUUUAAUUCAAGAUAAACAGCAGCUACCAAAUCUAAGAAUAAGAAAGAUGAACCAGGGGAAGAAAACUCCUUGGCAGAUUUUUUUAGCUAACUGGUGUUUUAGUUUUGUAGGUACAACCAGCUUUAACACAUUAAUGGAAUUGCCCAAGAGAGCAAAAGCAAUUUUAAUUCAAGAUAAACAGCAGCUACCAAAUCUAAGAAUAAGAAAGAUGAACCAGCUAGCACCAAAUUAAGUCAAAGUAUCUAAGGUCUCACAAAAUACUCCCAAGGUCAUCAAGGCAAACAUACAUGGGAGGUUCAAAUACAUCACAAAGCUUAUACAGAAAUGCAGGUACCACAUGAACAGGACAAUAGUGGAAUUGUAAGUUCGCUACAUUAUGUAGAAUUGCUUACACUAAUGUAAAGGUGGUAUUAAUCUCUAAGAGGUUCAUUCCUUUGCAAAAGAAUAAGAAAAACUACAAACUAGUAAGUUAUAAUUGCUAGAGAUAAUCGGAUCUGAUUCUUACAAAACUAACAUACCGUUAAGUAUUGGAAAUUAAAUUCUUUUAGAAUCGAUUACAUAACACUGGGUGAGAGAUUUUAGGUGACUUGAAGUGUAAUUGAUCCAAAGCUACUUAAAUCUCAAGGUUAGUUUGCACAUAUAAGACCGAUUCCUUAAAACAGAGUAGCUACCUUUUAGCCAUUUGUAAAUGGGAAAAAAUGUGAUAUCCAGACUCGAAGUAACAUAAGAAGCUUCUGCAACAAGAUCUAGUAAGAGCUUUGUCAAUUCGUAAUGGCAGUGUCAACUAUGAAUCUAAAUGAAAAAAAGAAACACUUAGCUCUUAAAGAUUUGGAAAUUUCGAGCUCAGUAAUGGAGUUCACGAGGCGACACCACCACCAUAGCAACAACAUCAUUAUUGGUAGACUAGAGAAAAUGAGUGGUCGAUUUGUACAGAAAAUCACAAGGUGACAUCACCACAACAUCAUCGGUGGUCGACUGAAGAAGAUGAAUGGUCGACUUGUACUAAAAAUCAUAAGGCGACACUUCUACGAUAGUAGCAUCGUUGGUCUCUACCAUAGCAACAUCGUUGGUCGAUAUCUCUAAAAGAUUCAUUACGUGUCCAACCUUCCUAAUCUGGUAAAUGAUCUUUGAUUUUAUUUGUUAUCAUUUGGACCGGGUCACUUUUGGGCCCGGUCUUGUAAAGAUCAGCUUUUGUUUUUUAAUAAAUGGGCCCU
rnacentral:lncRNA from 1 species